CCUACGGGCGGCAGCAGUGAGGAAUAUUGGUCAAUGGGCGCGAGCCUGAACCAGCCAAGUCGCGUGAGGGAGGACGGCCCUACGGGUUGUAAACCUCUUUUGCCGGGGAGCAACGGGCGCCACGUGUGGCGUCACUGAGAGUACCCGGCGAACAAGCAUCGGCUAACGCCGUGCCAGCGGCCGCGGUAAUACGGGGGAGGCGAGCGUUAUCCGGAUUUAUUGGGUUUAAAGGGUGCGGAGACGGCAGCGCAAGCCAGGAGUGAAAGCCCUGGGCCCAACCCCGGGACUGCUUUUGAAACUGCGCGGCUGGAGUGCAGGAGGGGCAGGCGGAAUUCCUGGUGUAGCGGUGAAAUGCGUAGAUAUUAGGAGGAACACCGGUGGCGAAGGCGGCCUGCUGGACUGCGACUGACGUUGAGGCCCGAAAGCGUGGGGAGCAAACAGGAUUAGAUACCCGUGUAGUC
rnacentral:rRNA from 1 species